GGUAGGAUGGCUGAGUAUAGGCGGUAAAUUGUAAAUUUAUUAACGAAAUUAUUUUUCUCCUACCA
rnacentral:tRNA from 1 species